UUUGGUUAAUCCUCCCCCACACUUAAACUAAAUAACACAAACUCACAGAAAUCAACCAAAUAACACAACUAACUAAACAAAACAAAAUGAAAACAGUAAAGAUAAGGGUGGAAGAAUGCAAAGCUGAUUGGGUUAGCGAUUCCAAAGUCUCCCUUCGUUGAAUGCUUGGGUUGCCUCCCAAGAAGCGCUUGAUUUAACGUCUUUAGCCGGACGCAUCUUUCCUUUAAAUUUCCCUCGGCUCCAUUUGAACCUAAAAUCAAAGAAAUAAAAAUAAAUCAAAUAUCAAAAGUAAAAUACACAAACACCAAUAUAAACAUAAACAAAAACAAAAAUAAAAGGAUUAGCAAAGUUGCUAAUCCCCGGCAACGGCGCCAAAAUUUGAUG
rnacentral:lncRNA from 1 species